AUAAGUUACUAAGGGCUUAUGGUGGAUGCCUUGGCACUAGAAGGCGAUGAAGGACGUGCAAACCUGCGAAAUGCUACGGGGAGCUGGUUGGAAGCGAUAAUCCGUAGAUGUCCGAAUGGGGGAACCUGAUUAAUAGUGAUAUUAAUU
rnacentral:rRNA from 1 species